GGUAAAAUGGCUGAAGUAUAGGCGGUAGAUUGUAAAUUUACUUAUAAAGAGAACUUUUUUUAUCA
rnacentral:tRNA from 1 species